UACGAAGGGGGCUAGCGUUGCUCGGAAUCACUGGGCGUAAAGGGUGCGUAGGCGGGUCUUUUAAGUCAGGGGUGAAAUCCUGGAGCUCAACUCCAGAACUGCCUUUGAUACUGAGGAUCUUGAGUUCGGGAGAGGUGAGUGGAACUGCGAGUGUAGAGGUGAAAUUCGUAGAUAUUCGCAAGAACACCAGUGGCGAAGGCGGCUCACUGGCUCGGUACUGACGCUGAGGUGCGAAAGCGUGGGGAGCAAACAGGG
rnacentral:rRNA from 1 species